UCGGGAUAGCUCAGUCGGUAGAGCAGAGGACUGAA
rnacentral:tRNA from 21 species